rnacentral:rRNA from 1 species
AGAGUUUGAUCCUGGCUCAGGACGCACGCUGGCGGCGCGCCUAACACAUGCAAGUCGAGCGGAGAUAGUACUUCGGUUCUAUCUUAGCGGCGGACGGGUGAGUAACGCGUGAGCAACCUGCCCUUGAGCGGGGGAUAGCGUCUGGAAACGGACGGUAAUACCGCAUAAUGUACGUUGGAGGCAUCUCCGAUGUACCAAAGGAGGAAUCCACUCAAGGAUGGGCUCGCGUCCGAUUAGGUAGUUGGUGAGGUAACGGCCCACCAAGCCUGCGAUCGGUAGCCGGACUGAGAGGUUGUACGGCCACAUUGGGACUGAGACACGGCCCAGACUCCUACGGGAGGCAGCAGUGGGGGAUAUUGCACAAUGGAGGAAACUCUGAUGCAGCGACGCCGCGUGAGGG